UACGAAGGGAGCUAGCGUUGUUCGGAAUUACUGGGCGUAAAGCGCAUGCAGGCGGAUCGUUAAGUCGGGGGUGAAAUCCCGAGGCUCAACCUCGGAACUGCCUUCGAUACUGGCGAUCUUGAGUCCGGGAGAGGUGAGUGGAACUGCGAGUGUAGAGGUGAAAUUCGUAGAUAUUCGCAAGAACACCAGUGGCGAAGGCGGCUCACUGGCCCGGUACUGACGCUGAGGCGCGAAAGCGUGGGGAGCAAACAGGG
rnacentral:rRNA from 1 species